rnacentral:misc_RNA from 1 species
GAAAUGCGAUAAGUAGUGUGAAUUGCAGAAUUCAGUGAAUCAUCGAAUCUUUGAACGCACAUUGCGCCCUUUGGUAUUCCAAAGGGCAUGCCUGUUCGAGCGUCAUGUGUACCCUCAAGCUUUGCUUGGUGUUGGGCGUCUUGUCUCUAGCUUUGCUGGAGACUCGCCUUAAAGUAAUUGGCAGCCGGCCUACUGGUUUCGGAGCGCAGCACAAGUCGCACUCUCUAUCAGCAAAGGUCUAGCAUCCAUUAAGCCUUUUUUUCAACUUUUGACCUCGGAUCAGGUAGGGAUACCCGCUGAACUUAAGC